rnacentral:rRNA from 1 species
UACGUAGGGUGCGAGCGUUAAUCGGAAUUACUGGGCGUAAAGCGUGCGUAGGUGGUUCGUUGUGUCUGUGGUGAAAGCCCCGGGCUUAACCUGGGAAUGGCCAUGGAAACUGGCGAGCUGGAGUCUGGCAGAGGGGGGUGGAAUUCCCGGUGUAGCAGUGAAAUGCGUAGAGAUCGGGAGGAACAUCUGUGGCGAAGGCGGCCACCUGGACCAGCACUGACACUGAGGCACGAAAGCGUGGGGAGCAAACAGG